rnacentral:rRNA from 1 species
UAACCCUACGGGAGGCAGCAGCCGCGGUAAUCCGUAGGUGGCGAGCGUUAUCCGGAAUGAUUGGGCGUAAAGGGUGCGCAGGCGGCGCGUCAAGUCUGAAGUAAAAGGUACAGGCUCAACCUGUGCAGGCUUUGGAAACUGGCGCGCUCGAGGACAGGAGAGGGCGGUGGAACUCCAUGUGUAGCGGUAAAAUGCGUAGAUAUAUGGAAGAACACCAGUUGCGAAGGCGGCCGCCUGGACUGUUACUGACGCUGAGGCACGAAAGCGUGGGGAG